rnacentral:rRNA from 1 species
UACGUAGGGGGCAAGCGUUGUCCGGAUUUAUUGGGCGUAAAAGGCUUGUAGGUGGCCACGCCAAGUCGGAUGUGAAAUCUCCCGGCUCAACUGGGAGGGGUCAUUCGAUACUGGCGGGCUCGAGGCCGGUAGGGGGAAGUGGAAUUCCCGGUGUAGUGGUGGAAUGCGUAGAUAUCGGGAGGAACACCAAUGGCGAAGGCAGCUCGCUGGGACGUGACUGACGCUGAGACGCGAAAGCGUGGGGAGCAAACAGG